AUAUAACUGGAAAUUCAAGAUCAGGAAGAUGUUAAAACAAAGAAAGCAGACCAUCAAGCAUUCGAAUCCAUCUAACUACAAUAAUUUUUUUUUUUUUUUUUAAAAUAAAGCAUGCCAUCUAAGUAUUCACACCCACAUUGUAAACCCUAAUUUAGAAAUAUAUAUCAACUGUAAGACUAAGUCCUGACUCCUCAUCCAAAAGAAACUCUUAAGUUGUUACUCGGUCAACAGUUCUAUGUUGGAUAGGUUUUAUAUUUUUGAAUAUUUGUUUUUCAAAAAUUACUGUGAUUAGCUUUUGUUGUACCAUAUAUUGGGCUUCAGUAUUUGGGCUUCAUUACUUAGCCCAUGAUUUAUGUAAGAGGGGAGGAAACCCUUAUUCUAUAAAAGGUCUCCCUCACACUCACUUAAGGGGGGGGGGGGAGACAACAAAGGGAAGCAUAAAAAGCAGCACACAGAGAGCUCCCUUGCUUGUUCAUUGUAAUCCACACAUUUACAUAGUGAAACAGAAUCAACACCAGUGUGGACGUAGCCUCAACUUGAGAGCAAUCUAACGAAGGUCACAAACUUCACACUUUCUGUUGUACCAAAGUCCUCGUCGAUUUUGUGCAUCAACAUUUGGCACCGUCUGUGGGAAUUGACACGAAAAGCUAUGUCAGUUCUCUUUCAAUUUUUCAUCUCAUCACCGUGAAACCCUCACAACCUCACCAUUGUCCACCGUACCAGAAUCACCUUCUUACUCCGUUGGUAAUUUCACCUCCAAGAAUACUAAGAGCAAGACUCGAUCAAAAAACCGAGGAAGGUCAUCAAACAAUAGAGCUGCAAGUAGACAAUCACAAUUGUCAAACCACGUUGAGGCCGAGAAACAGAGGAGGGAGAAACUCAACCACAGAUUAUGUGUCCUCCGGUCAGUUAUUCCCAAUGUGUCCAAAAUGGACAGGUCCUCUUUGCUUGCCGAUGCCGUGGCGUACAUCAAUCAACUCAAAUCAAAAGUUGAGGAGUUGGAGGCCAAAGUCCAAGAACAACCACAAAAGCCUAAAGCGGGCAAUAAUACAAGUAACAAUCUUGAUCAUCAAUCCAGCCAAAGCACCAACGCUGUAAUUGACCAGCAUCAUUAGCCCUUACAACAUCCACAUCUCACUCGGCACCGUAGCCUCAACCACGAGGCAUCCACCACCACAACUCCACUUCCCUCUCACGACUGUGAUUUGGGUGAAAUGGACCGAUCUACGAAACUCAUACAAAACCACAGUCGUCGCACCGUUGGAAAUUUCUCUUGCGGCCGCCAUGCGCAAUUGGGGGCUUUCGCUCCGUCUCCUUGCAACACCACCGCUAUCCUAGAAUCGGGGGACUCGGACUGUCAGUUCCCCACUCAACCCAGGUGAAGCCAGUUUGGGAAAAUUUGUCGAGAAUCGACGAAGGUGCUGCAAACUAGCCACGACUACCAGUGGAAAACCAACGAAAAAGAUAAGUCUUCUUCUAAUUCAUUAACUAGUUUAUUAUUUAAUAAUUUAUUAUUAUUUUGUGUUGGUCUUGUUACUGCAGCGUUUGCUUUACAACUGUGUAUAUUCUUUAACAGGAGACCACAUCACUUAUAUCACACUUAUAUUUUAGUGCACAAUUAGCAAUAUAUUAUUUGUUUUUAUGAUCUGUGUAUACAUAGUGCGGCACAUCACAAUAUAUAUAUAUAUAUAUAUAUAUAUAUAUAUAUAUAAACAGUGCGUCCCCAUUGUCAUUAUAUUAAGGCUACAUGACUACUGCUGUGUGCUUAUUAUACCGGGUCACAUCAAAUACUAUUAUUAUUACUAUCAUUAUUUUAUUACUAUUAUAUUUGCACCACGAGACCCUUAUCACCUUAUCAUCAUUUUGAAAGGAGAAACUGCUUUUUGAAAAGUAUCAAGUGGAACAGCAGGCGUUGCUUUUUGACAAAAAUAGUGGAAACGCCAACAUGAUUGUCUAAAUGAAAGAGAGGACAUGUUAUAAUAAUAUGUUUUACAUUAUUAUUAAUGGUUUAUCACCUGACUAUUUCCCAUAACACGUAGCAAGUCUGACCAAAUUACACUUCUUAUUUAUUUGAAUGUUAAGGUGACAUAACUUUGGUGAUUCAUGGCACGGUACAAUAUACCAAGUUAUAUAUAUUUACACGUUCCUUUUGCUACACGCUACCAUGCUUGGAAUGCCUUUCAAAUUUGUAACUCGUAUUUCACUAGUGAUCACACGAAUUUACAUAGUCAAUUACUUGUGCAAAUAUUUAUUCAUUGCCUAGUGAUAUGUGAUGCCUUUAACUAUGUCACUUAUGCAACAUGGGAUUUACCACACAACUUAAUAAAUUAUUUAUUUAUAGUAGGCACAUAGUACAAUUUUUUGCCUUGACAAACUUUGUCGAUUUGAUUUAUUCAUUAUGCGUUCAUACUUAUACUGUCAUUUAUUGUCAAGAAUUAUUGAGCAACUAGCUCUAUUGAUCAACAUUGUCACUAAUUAAAGAAGCCUACCAACUUAUAGAUCGAUAAGCCACAUUCUUAUGGUGACAAAGAUUUAGUCUAAACAGUAAUCUCUUGUCUGACCGGACACCCACUUCCUCGGACACUCGCUCAUUUGGACACCUAUGUGCUUAGACACCCGCGAGCUUGGACACCCAUUCAUUCGGGCACUUACGAGAUAGACACCGUCAAACUUGGACACCCUUGAGCUCGAACCCCAACUCACGGACCCAAUUUGUGGACCCAACUGAAAAACCCUACGUAUGGCCCCGACUCAAAGACCUGACUUGUGGACCCGAUCCGCGGAUCCGACACAUAUACCCAAUAUGCGAACUCGACAAGCGGACCCGAGUCAUGUCAAAAGUUAACUCAUAAUGAGCUCACGCUGACGUCGAGUGCAUACUCACAAUGAAGAACGCCACAAGCCGAGCCGCCUCGCAAUGAGCAUCGCCUCCAGCCGAGCAACCGCCUCGCCGCGAGCAUUGCCUCUAGACGAGCAGCCUUGCAACGUAUGCUACCUCUAGCUGAGUAUUGCUUCACGUUAAGCACCGUCUUAAGUCGAGUACUAGUUCUAGACGACAUCUAGUCACUUCGGCCCGCACAUGGAUUGAAUUUGAAGUCUCCAGCCAAAAGACUCUCUUGACUGAAGACUUGGGGGACUCCUGUUAUACCAUAUAUUGGGCUUCAGUAUUUGGGCUUCAUUACUUAGCCCAUGAUUCAUGUAAGAAGGGAGGAAACCCUUAUUCUAUAAAAGGGCUCCCUCACACUCACUUAAGGGGGGGAGACAACAAAGGGAAGCAUAAAGGGCCGCACACAGAGAGCUCCCUUGCUUGUCCAUUGUAAUCCACACAUUUACAUAGUGAAACAGAAUCAACACCAGUAUGGACGUAUCCUCAACUUGAGGUGAACCACGAUACAUCUUAUGUUAUUUGCUUCUCUGUCUCUAUUCAUUUACAUACUUAUCCACACUAAUGACCAGAGCAACCUAGCGAAGGUCACAAACUUCACACUUUCUGUUGUACCAAAGUCCUCGCCGAUUUUGUGUAUCAACAACUUCCACCUUUUAAUCUGGUGGUGAUUUUGAAUUUUGAAUUGUAGCUUGUAAAUAGGAUUUUCAAAACCCUGAUGUAAUCUGUCUUGAAUUAUAAAUACAUAGCACCCUACAUUAUUAAGGGUAUGCAAAACCAUUGAAGAAAACCUUGUUCAUUGUUUUUAGUUUCCUGCGAGUUUCUACUUUUAUAAUCUUCUGUGAUUCUCUAGUUCUUUAUCGUACUCCGAGCCCUACAAGUCCAACGACAGAAGUUAUUUUUUUUUCUACCCAUCAUGUCCCAGAUUAACCCCUCACGUGCAGUCCCUACUGCAAAUAUGUCUUCCUACAUGACUACUAUUGUGAACAUCAAACUAGAUGGGACUAACCAUCCGCUGUGGUUAGCCUAUAUUCUAGUCAUGAUCUUAUGGGCUAUGUCGAUGGCAUCAUCCUAAAAUUUAAUUAAACAACAAAAAUAGAAAAAUCUUCUACCCUAAUAACACGAGUGAGAUUUCUACUUCGGGGUUUCUCUGCACAUACUUAGAAUGAUCUAUUCCACCAAAAAAAAAUUCCUUACCAGAGGUGGCCAACAGGGCCGACAAACCCAAAUUCGAACAAGCUGGUUGUACCCACUUUUCUCCAGUUGAUCUUUAACUCUUCAUCUUCACCUUGUACACGAAGACAAAUAAGUUAGUCUAUUCUCAUGGGAAACUAAUUAACAACAUAUUUGAUAGCAACAUCUUGCAAGCAUGCAUUUGAUCAUUUAAUAUAAAACAAAAUGUUGAGAAAUUAAAAAACUUCUACGUUAUAUUCUCUCAUAUAUGUAGCCUAAAAUUGGGGACUCUGCACAAGGUGUUAUGCUGAACAGCUUUUUCAGAAAGUGUUUGGUACAUUUACAACAGAAAAAUUGUUUAAAAACAUUACCAAAACAUAUCUUGUUUCUCUAAACUAAGAAAAAUAUACACUAUAAACAAGUAGUUUAAUAUCCUCUCCAAAAUAUGUGAUCCUCCAAAUCAUGAGAUAAAGAAAAGGCAACUACCAAACCUUUUUCCUAAACAUGGAGAAAGACUUAAAUGGAAGGGUUCACUGCCACUUACACAUGGAAUUGUAUUAUUGAACACCAUGCGACAGUGAACAUGGUCAAUGUAAGUUGCUCACAAGGAACCAUAUCCGCUUGGUGCCACGUUAACCCUAUUAUUAAGUAACAAAUCCAACACUUCUUGAAGAUUAAAAAAACAACAAGUACAAUGAAAGUCUUUUCAAAUCCCAUGGCAACAAUUCAAUAAACAUUGACAGAUGAAAUAAACAAAUACAGAGGUCAUCCCAAGCAUGAAAGCAAUUCCAAAUACACAGACACAUAAACACAAGAACAAGAGCUAAAGAAGAAAGUAACCAUUCUUCGAACAAUGAAACGAGAUAUUUCAAAUUUUUUGCAAGACACAAAAGAAACUAAACAGGUGUUCCCCUGCAUUUUUAUAAGCUGAUGAUAUUUGUGUUUUCACAUAAUACUCUUACAGAUUCUAUAAGUUCUACUUGAAAAAUACUCCACUCCCAUCCCUAUAUUAACUUUAAAAGACAAAUGUGUACCUGUGGAAAUUUUAUGUUUGUUUGAAUGUAUUUUUCAUAGAUUGAUUGAAUGUACGAGGGGGAUAUAUAAUGAGGUAGAAGGUUACAAGCAACCCUACCUUGGCAAAUCCUACUAACCCGAUAAACCCUAAAGUUGUCACUCCUUAAAUUAAGGGAGUACAACAAGUAGCUAGCAACCAACUAUCAACAAGUCAUCUAGAUGUCAAUCUUCCUCAAAUUAAGGGAUUAGACUUAAUAUAGAAUCCCAUGGAAAGAGGAAACAUAAAAUCUAGCAGCGUCAGCCACCUUAUAUUGUCUAAUAUACAUAUGCAACAUCAGUCACCCCAUAUCGUGUAAUAGACAUAUGCAGCAUCAAUAUGCAACAUCAGUGACCUCAUAUAAUCUAAUAGUACUAAUUAGUCGACAAAAAUCAUGCUCCAUAUUCUAAAUGCUCUCAUAAAUAUCAUUUUACAUUUCAAAAACAUACCAUCAGACUUUUCCCCAACAAAGUUCAUCAACUGGUCAAUCCCUCUUACUUAAAUAACACUUGAAUAAGAAGAUUUUGGUCUGUCUCACACUAAGCGAAAAACCUACUCCAUAACAAUGCAAGAAAAAUCUCUAAGACAAUGCAUCUAAUAUCAAGUAAGGACCAUAUAUAUAUAUAUAUAUAUUAAACUUGCGUUGUGCUGAUAUUUCAAAAAUUUGUUCAUCAUAACUUGUAAACAUAGAUAAAGUAUCAUCAUCAACUUAACUAAAAGGCAAAUCGAUUCAAGAACCACUAAAUAUAUGACCUUGUAUCGUGUAACCCACUUUGAUUGAUUCAUCCUUAAUACCAUCUGGCAAAGGCCAUCCUAAGCAUGAAAGUAAAACAACAAACACAGACACACAAACACAAGAACAAGAGCUAAAUUAUCAAAUGUAGGAGAAAACAAAAGAGACCCAUCUGGGAAAAUAAUGAAUAACAUAGACCCAUUUAAGCAAAAUUUCAAAUUUUCACAGUUGAGACAAAUUUAUAAGAGAGAAAUCAAGAAAAGUGCAGUAAUUUCAAUAGACAGAGAAAGAUUUGAGUACCUUUUGAGAAGAAAUUGG